GACGAACGCUGGCGGCGUGCUUAACACAUGCAAGUCAAAGGAAAAGGCCCGGCUUUUGUGGGUUGCUGGAGUGCCGACCGGGUGGGUACCCCGUGGGUACCCUGCCCUUGAUUUUGGGAUAAUUUCGGGAACCGGGGGCAAAUACCGGAUAGUACGCCCUGCGGCUUGGGGGGGGUGGUAAUGUUUGGCGGGUGGGGAUGGACCCCCGGCUUAUCAGCUUGUUGGUGGGGGAGUGGCUUACCAAGGCUUUGACGGGUAGCCGGCCUGAGAGGGUGACCGGCCACAUUGGGACUGAGAUACGGCCCAGACUCCUACGGGAGGCAGCAGUGGGGAAUAUUGCACAAUGGGCGGAAGCCUGAUGCAGCAACGCCGCGUGCGGGAUGACGGCCUUCGGGUUGUAAACCGCUUUCGCCUGUGACGAAGCGUGAGUGACGGUAAUGGGUAAAGAAGCACCGGCUAACUACGUG
rnacentral:rRNA from 1 species